rnacentral:rRNA from 1 species
GACGAACGCUGGCGGCGUGCCUAAUACAUGCAAGUAGAACGCUGAAGAGAGGAGCUUGCUCUUCUUGGAUGAGUUGCGAACGGGUGAGUAACGCGUAGGUAACCUGCCUUGUAGCGGGGGAUAACUAUUGGAAACGAUAGCUAAUACCGCAUAACAAUGGAUGUCACAUGUCAUUUAUUUGAAAGGGGCAAUUGCUCCACUACAAGAUGGACCUGCGUUGUAUUAGCUAGUAGGUGAGGUAAUGGCUCACCUAGGCGACGAUACAUAGCCGACCUGAGAGGGUGAUCGGCCACACUGGGACUGAGACACGGCCCAGACUCCUACGGGAGGCAGCAGUAGGGAAUCUUCGGCAAGGGGGGCAACCCUGACCGAGCAACGCCGCGUGAGUGAAGAAGGUUUUCGGAUCGUAAAGCUCUGUUGUAAGUCAAGAACGGGUGUGAGAGUGGAAAGUUCACACUGUGACGGUAGCUGACCAGAAAGGGACGGCUAACUACGUG